CGUGCAUAUCAAACCGAAAGAGCAUCGGGAGCGCCCCUUUCUCAUUCAGCUUCCAUGGCUCAAAUAAACACCAAAGUAACUCAAGACUAUCUGACAUCCUUGGAAAGCAAUAGUAAUGAUUCAUCAGAGCUUGAAACACACAAUUCGUCUGAGAAACCAGGGAAGAACAACAUUCCCAAACUUGUAGUUGUUGGUGGGGCUAUCGCGGUUGCAUGUAUUCUAGAUCGAGGGCUCUUAACCAAAGCUGUUAUAUUCGGAGUAGCUCGAAGGUUUGCAAAAAUCGGAAGAAGGUUGUAAUCCUGAAUAUUUUUGUGGGUCAAUCGAAGGAAACCGCACCCACCAGCAAAGCAGAUUGCCAUUGCAAUGAAGUGAGAUGUUGGGGAUGGAUGAAUCUUCUCACUUAGCCGCGUUUAAAAGGUUGGAAGAUGGAAAGAUUAUAUUAGUUUUUGCAAUAUUUGGG
rnacentral:lncRNA from 1 species